rnacentral:rRNA from 1 species
UAAUCUCUGGAAACGGGGACGUAAUACCGGAUAGGUAAUCGGAAGGCAUCUUCUGGUUAUUAAAGGUUAAAAAACACUGGUGGAUGGGCUUAUGGCGCAUUAGUUAGUUGGUGAGGUAACGGCCCACCAAGACGAUGAUGCGUAGCCGGCCUGAGAGGGUGAACGGCCACAUUGGGACUGAGACACGGCCCAGACUCCUACGGGAGGCAGCAGCU